rnacentral:lncRNA from 1 species
UCCAUUCAUCACCACCUAUAUUAAGAGAAAUCACUGAGUGAGAAUCAUCCAUAAUUCUAGAUUUUAGGACAUUCAAGCUUUGUGACAAAUUUUCACUUAAUAUGCUAUAUUAUCUUGCCUGCAAUACGCCAGGGAUGUUAAACUUUCAACUGAAAGCAAAUUUCUUCUAUUCUUUUUGGUCGAUCAAAAAUAACUCGAUCGCUUGG